AGAGCAACUGCCUUCUAAGCAGUAGGUCAUUGGUUCGAAUCCAAUCCGGAUCACAA
rnacentral:tRNA from 1 species